GACCAGUAAAGACACUGGCAGAGAGACCAGUAAAGACACUGGCAGAGAGACCAGUAAAGACACUGGCAGAGAGACCAGUAAAGACACUGGCAGAGAGACCAGUAAAGACACUGGCAGAGAGACCAGUAAAGACACUGGCAGAGAGACAAUAACAAAAGCUAGUCAAGAGACCCGAAAGGACAGCAGGAGCAGAGGGAAAGAUAAGGAGGCGGAAAAGAUAAUCAAGGAGAUGGAGACUGGCAAAAAAGAGACCAGUACAGAGACUCGCAAAAAGUUAGGGAGUAAGACUAGAAACAUGACAGUCCAUGAGACCAGCAAAGACACUGGGAAAAUGACCAGUACAGAGACUGUUAAGGAGACUGAGAGAGAGACUAGCACAGACAUGGAGAGAGAGACCUGUAGAGCUGUUAGUAUAGUGGCCAGUAGAAUCAGCAAUAGAGAAACCAAAAAAAAGCCAGAGACUUGUAAAACACCUGAAAAGAAGACCAAUACUCAGACUGUGAAAGAAAAAACUAAAGUGACUCCUCCCCCCAUCUCCCCUCCAACCACUAAUCUGUGGGAUUUCCUGAAGAGGCAGAACCGAGGAGCUGUGAUUGGUCUGAGUGCACUCAUCGAGUGCCACAGUCACGGCCAGCCCCCCCUCUACCUCUGCCAGGUGUGUGGGUGUAAAGUCUUCCAGAACGCCAUCAUCGUCCAUGUAACCACAGACUGCCACCGGCUUUCCUACCUGAGGUCGCUGAAGACAGUGGUUGUCCCCAAAGGGAACCAGCUCCAUAAGAAGUUGAGGAGAGCUGCCUUGAAGCUGGAGAGGACCAUGGGAUAUGGAGAGGCUGAGGUAACGGAGUUGGAUGCACACACUUACAAUUUUGUUGCAGAAAGAUCCUUUGCCAUUGGCCUGAACAUUGUAAUGAAGGUCAUAAAUGGUGACCCUUCACCUGACCCCCUACUGUUGGUCAGCCCUAAACCCCCUGACCCCUCACCCCAGGUCAGCCCUGACCCCUCACUCCAGGUGUCAGAGGUCAGCAACCCCACCAUGACCUCUACAGCUCUGUGGUCCUACCUGAAUGCCUCCACCAGGACACAGCCUGUCAUCGGUGUCAGUAUGUUGACAGAGUUGCCAGACAGACAUGGUGACUACUUCCUCUGCCGCUGCUGUUCUCACAGGAUGUUUACAUCAUCCCUCAUUGGACACCUAAUCUCUGCUCGACACCGCUACCACUACAUAAAACUAGUGUACCCUGAGCUGGCUGCUGAUUGGCCAGUGAGCCCAGAGCUGACGGUGAAGGCGGGGCCUCUUCAUGAGGAGCUGAGAGUGAGAGCUGCAGAACUGGAGGCACAGGAGGGACUAGGACAGCUCACGGUGGUAAAGAGAGAACCUGCUGCUGGAGACACAACCACUACCAAUACUGAAGGGACUGCCCAGCAGAGCCAGAACGGCUCACCUCCUCUCUCUGUGAAAGAGGAACCGGUUGACUCCACAGUACCAUCCCAGCCCCCUAGAGGAGAAAAGAGGAACAAGAGGAGGAGCAACCCUGUGGUUGGUGUGAACUUCCUGGUCCAGGUGUCCCACAGGAGAAGGAAACAGUACUACUGUCAGCUAUGUUCUGUCAGGAUGAAACACGCUAUUGCUGAUCACAUGACCAGCCUCAGCCACCGACACAACUAUGUGAGGUUGAAGUACCCUGGUUGGACCUCCAGCCCGGUAGAGAUGGAGAAGAAGCUGUUCAAAAUGGCCGUUCACCUGGAGAAGGUCGACAGAGACGCAGGAAUGGGCAUGCAGAAGGUAGAAGUGGAAGCUGAUGAGUACAAAGAGCUGUUGUCCUUUCCUGUGGAGGAAGGUGUCAGUAAACUGCAAGCCAUCAUCAGACGGCAACAAGAGCCAUGCGAUCUGAGACACACAGCUCCCUCGACCAAUCACAACCCAGAGGAUCUGAGACAGACAGCUCCCUUGUCCAAUCCCGAUGCAGCCCAAUGUCCAGCUCAAGGUAUGUGUGGGGCAGAGUCACGUGAGACCGAGGGAGUGUGUCCUCUCCCUGUCAGUCUAUCAGAGGAGGAGAAUGACCAGACGCUCCUGGUUCAGAUCUCAAUGUUUUUGGGAGAAGACCAGGAACCCCUACAAGUACCUUCCCGUUCCUCCAGGAUCAGCCACCCCUUAUUUCCAUCCCUCUCCCACUCUCUACACCUCACCCUAUCCCCCUCUCUUCCUCAAUCCCCCUCCCUCUCUCCCUCAAACCCCUUUUCUACCUCUCUUUCCACAGUUGUCCUAUCUACCUCACCCUCCCUCUCUUCCUCCAUACCAUCCCACACCCCCUCGUUGUCCACAGAGAAGACAACACACCCCUCCCCUGUCUCUGUCCCUGUUCCUGCACCUCUCUCAGCUCUGAGGAGCUCAACACAUUUGAAGGACUGGGAGACUUCUCUGAGUCCAGAGUGGUGGGAGAGGAAGAGCCCAGAAUGCAGAGAGACACAGACGCUUCUAGAAAUACCAGACAGACACACUCUUCUGGAAUACUCGGGCAGAGACAGACAGAUUGAAUACUCAGCGACAGACCGACAGACUGCAUACACUGAGAGAAACCGACAGACUCAUCUAGAAUACUCUGAGAGAGACAGACGGGCAGACUACUCAGAGAGAGACAGACGGGCAGACUACUCAGAGAGAGACAGACGGGCGGACUACUCGGAGAGAGACAGACGGGCGGACUGCUCGGAGAGAGGCAGACGGGCGGACUACUCCGAGGGAGGCAGACGGGCGGACUACUCCGAGGGAGGCAGACGGGCGGACUACUCCGAGGAGGCAGGCGGGCGGACUACUCCGAGGGAGGCAGGCGGGCGGACUACUCCGAGGGAGGCAGGCGGGCGGACUACUCCGAGGAGGCAGGCGGCCGGACUACUCCGAGGGAGGCAGGCGACCGGACUUCUCCGAGGGAGGCAGACGGGCGGACUUCUCCGAGGGAGGCAGACGGGCGGACUUCUCCGAGGGAGGCAGACGGGCGGACUACUCCGAGGGAGGCAGACGGGCGGACUACUCCGAGGGAGGCAGACGGGCGGACUACUCCGAGGGAGGCAGACAGGCGGACUACUCCGAGGGAGGCAGACAGGCGGACUACUCCGAGGGAGGCAGACAGGCGGACUACUCCGAGGGAGGCAGACAGGCGGACUACUCCGAGGGAGGCAGACAGGCGGACUACUCCGAGGGAGGCAGACAGGCGGACUACUCCGAGGGAGGCAGACAGGCGGACUACUCCGAGGGAGGCAGACAGGCGGACUACUCCGAGGAGGCAGACAGGCGGACUACUCCGAGGGAGGCAGACAGGCGGACUACUCCGAGGGAGGCAGACAGGCGGACUACUCCGAGGGAGGCAGACAGGCGGACUACUCCGAGGGAGGCAGACAGGCGGACUACUCCGAGGGAGGCAGACAGGCGGACUACUCCGAGGGAGGCAGACAGGCGGACUACUCCGAGGGAGGCAGACAGGCGGACUACUCCGAGGGAGGCAGACAGGCGGACUACUCUGAGGGAGGCAGACAGGCGGACUACUCUGAGGGGGAACUGGACGAAGACCAAGAACACACACAUCAUCACAGUGAACACACACAUCAGCACAGUGAACACACACAUCAGCACAGUGAACACACACACUUCGAGCAGGCCCCAGCAAGCUGGCUCAGUGUUCCACAGGUGUAUCUGCUGCCGGACACACCCGCAGCAAAGAGGGUUGUCGGCCCCAGCCACCUGUCCAAAUACCUGAAAGUGAAGGGCCUUCACAACACAGAACCGAUCAUAGGUCUGGGCAGUGUGGUGGAGUGUAGAGGUAUAUCCCAGGCUACGUUUUUCAUGUGUGUGAGCUGUGCUGAGACUCUCUCCAGUACACACAUCUGUGAACACAUCAUCAGCGCGCAACACCAGCAGUGCUACAUGUUUUCCCAGUAUAGUCCUAUGCGCUGUGAUUGGUUGAGAGAGCAGCAGCAGCCUCCGAGUCCACAGCUCCUCAGGAAGGUUGCUUCAGCACUGUCACAACUGGAGGUGGAUCUAGAUGCACAGGUGAUGCUGCUGGAUCAGAUGUGGUAUAACCUUGUGAAGUCAGCUCCAUUCUACGAAGCCAUGUACAUGCUGCAGGAACAGAAUCAGAAUGCCCUGUGUCUACACACAGCAAGCAGACAUCAGCUUUUUCCCCCAGUUGGUCCUGACCCAGCAACGGAGCAGGGCUUUGACCAGAACCACAGAGUGAUGGAUAAACUGACCAUGGAUCAGAUUGAGCCCCAUCACCCCCUGCAGACAGCAGAUACAGUGGCUGGUAAACUGACUGGAGAUCAGCUGGAGUCAGGCCAGUGCAUACAGACCGCAGACAGACGGCCAGAUAAUCAGAACCCGGAUCAGCCCCAGUGGAGCCAGAGCUCAGAGAGAACAGAGAUGGUCCCUGAGCCAAUAAGAGCCAAGACACCACAUAAUUCUGAGCCAAUCAGAGACCAGACACCACAGAACAUUGAGCCAAUCAGAGCCAAGACGUCAAAGAAUUCUGACCCAAUAAAAUUCCAGACACCACAGAACACUGGGCCAAAAAGAGCCUGGAUGCCACAGAACUCCUCAGAACCACAUCUGGACCAAGACAACACAGUCAUUGUCAAACAGGAGCCUGUGGACCCCAAGGUGGAACCUCAGCCCCAUCCUCAUACCCAGCCUGAGGUGGACCCCUUAAAGGAUUCCCUGUAUGGACACAGAGUCCAGUUCUCCCCAGAUGUACAGAACCUGGCUGGUGUGUGUGAGGUGGAGUACCAGGGGACCGUCCUAGCACACAGCCAAGAGGUGACACGAAUAGGAGGGGCCACAGAGAACUCCCUUCAACCCACCAAGAACUUGAGAGACUCCGUCAACAACAGCUUGCCUUUGGUCGGUCUCAGUGCAAUGAUAGAGUGUUGCAGUGAGGGCCAGGUGUCCUUCUACCUGUGUGUGUCGUGUGGCAGCAAAAUUGAAAAAACUCUACUCAUCAGCCACGUCCUCAAAUACAGACACCGACAGCUGUACCUGACAAUGAGGUACCCGUGGUAUUUCCUUGGUGUGGUACCAGCCCGAGGGUUGGCAGAACAGUCCAGACUGAUGCAGAUUGCUAAGGAGGUGGAGGAGCAGAACCAUGAUGAGCCUGGCACGCUACAGGAGGUGAUUCUGGCCCCUGCUGACUUUGCCGAGAUCAAACGGAUGCUGUUUGAUAAAGCUGUAUCCCGUUUGCAGGAGAUCUGUAGAGAGCAGAACCAGACUGAACUCCUCACCAUGGUCACCAGCAAACCUGAACCAAUAGUGGUCAAGCAGGAGAUUGUGGAGUGCCAGGUGGUCUCCCAUCAGGCCUUGGGGCUAUUCCUACCGCCACAGAGAUGUAGGAGAAACACGGGAAAACGUUGUUCUAACGUUGAGGGGUCAGAGGUGAGGGGUCAGCAGCAGGUGAAGAAGAGAAAGGUGUCCAGCCCCCCUGAGGGUCACACUGCCCCUGUCAUCUGUCUAUCAUCUCCUGAAGUCAUCAAGUCUUCUGAAACACACACUGUCAACCAGACACACAUCAUCACACCCUCACCCACACAAUCCAACACUAAGCCGAAACUCACAUACACACACUCUGACUCUCAAACUAAACUUAAACCUUCACGCACACACCCCAAACCCAGUUCAACAGCCCCAGAAUAUACUAGACCCAAACUCAUUCCCCAUUCUGCCACCAAGCCCUCCGGUAUCCCUGCCGACAGCCUGACUGUUGCCAAAGAGUCCUCUAGCAAGAAAGCCACUCACACACUGUGCAAACCCACACACACACUGUCCAAUAGCCAGAAGCUCACUGACAAACAUUCGGACAAGAAUGAGUCUCAGAAACAUACUGAAAAGGCUAAACCUACUCGCACACACAGUGAACGCACACACAGAAACCGCACACACACUCGCAAACACAGUGACCUCACACGCACUGACAAAGCCAAAGACGGACACAGUGACAAGACCAAACGCAGACACAGUGACCGCAAACACACUAACAGACAUUCUGACCACUCACGCUGUCACACCAGCUCUAAGAGACAUAAUCGUAGCUCCAGCCGUUCCUCCAAAGCCUCCCCCAGAGCUAGUCCCUCUGAGCCCCCUGCUCUCCCCCUACUCCCCGCUGCAUUCUCCCCCACCAGAGCCACUUCUGCGGCGAGCCUAAGCCAGGUCAAACCCAGCCAACCUUCCUGCCUAGUCAACAAACAACUACCCAAACAGUCCAGCCAACCAACCAAGAGACCUCCCAACCCAACCUCAGCAGUCAGACCUCUCCAGACCCAGGCCAACCCUCCCAACAACACCUCUUACCCCCACCUGCACCCAGAAAGAACCGGACCCAUGACCCCCCACUCGGACCCAUGACCCCCCACCCGGACCCAUGACCCCCCAACCCCCGGCAAUCCCUCCCUGCCUCACUCCUCCACCUCCACCCCAGCCAGGUCCUGUCUACGCCUCUGGGGUUAAGAAGAAGACUUCCAUUGUAGACUGUGAUCAAUUUGUGGAAUACUUUGUCUCUUUGUUGCGCUCCCCCCACUUUCCUCCUGCCCUAACCACCCCAGAGAGUGCAGAGAGCGCUGAGGCUCAUACCAGGGCAACAGGCCCUAACCCUGGAGGGGAGAAGAUGAGGGGUGACUCAAAAGGUCAUGCCAUCGCCAUAGUGGCGGCAUUACCCAACCCGCUAAAAAGGAAGCUAUCCCUACAGGAACCCGAGGACAGAGACCCCUGGAACUACGAGAGCCGACAGUUCACUCCCAACUCCAAACCUAACCCCAACUUCAAACCUAACCCAAACUUCCAGAACCCUGACUCCAAACCUAACCACAACUUCCAGAACCCUGACUCCAAACCUAACCACAACUUCCAGAACCCUAACUCCAAACCUAACCACAACUUCCAGAACCCUAACUCCAAACCUAACCACAACUUCCAAAACCCUAACCCUAAACCUAACCCCAACUUCCAGAACCCUAACUCUAACCCCAACUUCCAGAACCCUAACUCCAACUCUAACCCCAACUUCCAGAGUUAUACCCCCACUACCAAUGCCACACUAGCCCAGGGGGGUUACACUGGAGGGGUUACCGUUUCUUCUAGCCCUAACCCCACUGACCCACAGCCCCCAGAGAUUCUACCUGGUUACACCUACCCUGGUUACACCUACGCUGGUUACACCUACCCUGGUUACACCUACCCUGGUUCAGGUUACGCUGGAGUUGUCAGUGUUAGUCAGUUCACUUCCAACUCCCCCAUUAACCCUAUCCCCAGCCCCAGUAACACACAGUCACAGCCACAGGCAAGGUGGUCUGGGGGCAACUGGGGAACAGGCUACCCAGGGGCAGGCUAUGUUACAACAGGUCUAGCUGGUACUUCCUACCCUGGAGCUGUCUCUUCUGGAAGUGGACCUGGCUACCCUGGAGUUCUGCUCUACCCAGAGAUGGGCUACUCAGACAUGGACUGCCGUGGACAGGCUUACCCUAGGUCUGGGACUGGACUCGGCUCUACUGGGACUGUUAUGCCCCCAGGAAGCCUCUACUCUACCACACCAUCUCCAGCCAACCCCAGCUAUUUGGCCUUGACCCAGCCAUCACUUGACCCAGCCAGCUACUCCGCCUGGACUGCUACUGACACCGGGGUUGCCAUUGAAACCAGCACAGCAG
ensembl:lncRNA